rfam:Danaus plexippus plexippus isolate F-2 unplaced genomic scaffold DPSCF300240, whole genome shotgun sequence.
GUGGGCUAUGGAGACAUGGCGCCCAAGACUUAUUUGGGGAUGUUCGUGGGCGCCCUCUGUGCGCUGGCUGGCGUGCUCACUAUAGCGUUGCCAGUUCCUGUCAUUGUAUCAAAU